AGAGUUUGAUCAUGGCUCAGGACGAACGCUGGCGGCGUGCUUAACACAUGCAAGUCGAACGAAGAGCGAUGGAAGCUUGCUUCUAUCAAUCUUAGUGGCGAACGGGUGAGUAACGCGUAAUCAACCUGCCCUUCAGAGGGGGACAACAGUUGGAAACGACUGCUAAUACCGCAUACGAUUUAAUCUCGGCAUCGAGGAUAGAUGAAAGGUGGCCUCUACAUGUAAGCUAUCACUGAAGGAGGGGAUUGCGUCUGAUUAGCUAGUUGGAGGGGUAACGGCCCACCAAGGCGAUGAUCAGUAGCCGGUCUGAGAGGAUGAACGGCCACAUUGGGACUGAGACACGGCCCAGACUCCUACGGGAGGCAGCAGUGGGGAAUCUUCCGCAAUGGGCGCAAGCCUGACGGAGCAACGCCGCGUGAGUGAAGAAGGUCUUCGGAUCGUAAAGCUCUGUUGUUGGGGACGAAAGGGAAGGGGAGGAAAUGCCCUUUUUAAGACGGUACCCGACGAGCAAGCCACGGCUAACUACGUGCCAGCAGCCGCGGU
rnacentral:rRNA from 1 species